AUUUAACUGAUGUGUCCCAAAUAGGACGAAACUUGUGUCCUGGAU
rnacentral:hammerhead_ribozyme from 1 species